rnacentral:rRNA from 1 species
CACGUAGGGGACGAGCGUUGUCCGGAUUCAUUGGGCGUAAAGCGCGCGUAGGCGGCUUUGCAAGUCGGGUGUGAAAUCCCCAGGCUUAACCUGGGAACUGCAUUCGAGACUGCAUUGCUAGAGUAUGGGAGGGGGAAGUGGAAUUUCCGGUGUAGCGGUGAAAUGCGUAGAUAUCGGAAGGAACAUCAGUGGCGAAAGCGACUUCCUGGACCAAUACUGACGCUCAUGUGCGAAAGCGUGGGGAGCAAACAGG